GAUUCAACAUACAGAUACAUGUCGUAAGAAGCUGGUGUAUACAGUGUUUCGCACUACACUUUGGUAACGAAAUCCACAUAUACGUUACGGCAGACCAGACAGAAGGCAAUUAAUUGUAUUGUUUUCUCUAUUAUGUAAUCACCAGAAGCAUUUUUAGAAAAUGGAAGAAAUUCCUUUCAAAAAUGAUGAAAUUUUGUCUGAUGUUCAUCUCCACAUGCAGCAUGAAAAAUGUUUAGCGAUCAGAGUGAAUGCAGCUGGGCAAUCAGUGUUUCAAUCCCACUUUACAAUUCUUUGGAGAAAUGAAGAGUUAGACAUACCAUGCAAUGAGAUCCAACACAAUAAGGAAAAGGCUAUAUCCUUUGAAAAACACACUUCGGAUGACUUUAUCUUUGGCCAGG